rnacentral:lncRNA from 10 species
CCAAGAUCGUGCCACUGCACUCCAGCCUGGGUGACAGAGAGAGACUCCAUCUCAAAAAAAAAAAAAAAAAAAAGCCCUAAGUUAAGUACUCUAUGAUGUUAUCGUCACAUGCUUUUAAAAUUGUCUGCAUCCUUCCCAGCAUGCAAACUGCUUUUCUUGUUGUUUUGUCCUCAAGAAGCAAACUCAUCAGGACAUAGGAUUGGAGCCUGGCUGAGUGACUAGUAUGCACCUGUUUAUAGAGGAAGUUCCUGGAAAACAUUCAUGUUUGUAUUAUUUAAAAAUUACUGCACCAGAAAUUAACUCAGAGAAUGACCACUGGUCAUCAUUUCUUAUGAUUCAGGGUGUGUAGGGGAAGGGAGCAGGAUGUUUGAUGCCGUGUUGUGGCCGCACACUCUGUGGAGACUCGGGACCCUGAGCUUGCCGGGAAGGCUCUGGGCUGGGCUGUGUCCGGCGGCCUCUCUCUAACUCCUCGGUGCCCUGCCUCCCAUGCCCUGCAGUCAGGAACUGCUGGACCCAAGACUCGAACCCACUGCCUCUGACCUUGAGUCGGGUACUCUCUUCAUUUUACCAAAUGUAGAGCAACAACGUGUACAUUGAAUUAAAACUUUGAUAUCCGAAACACGGAUAGAAUUGCAGAGUUCAUUGGAAGCUUCGCAUCCGAAAGACAAAAUCGUGUAAUUUUAGGAACCUGAGUGCUUGUAAUAAAACGACUGCAAUUUAUUAGCUCUGUGGCCUUUACCAACUCACGUGACCUUUCCAAAUCUUUUUUUUUCUUUGUAAACCAGAGACAAUUACGCCGUCCACCUUGUGAGUCUGCUGUACAGAUGACCUGAGAUGUUCCUAUCAAAGUGCUUAGCUCAGGCUAGGAGCUGAAUUCUCCUUUCCCGGUCAUUUGAGCACAGCCUUGCCCCUAGAGCCCUCAGGCUCAGAGACCCUCCCCCACAUCCCAUAAUUACUUUUAGAAAAACACAGAGACUCACUCAUGCUUUCGGGCAGCAGGGAAAAGAGAAGAUUCUGGACCUCUUCCCUGACUUCCUACACUGCCUGAAGGUAAAGGCAACGAAGUUAUGAUGAGAAGCAGCUGAAGUUAUGAUGAGAAGCAGCUGAAGUUAUGAUGAGAAGCAGCCGCAUCAGACCCAGAACAUCUGGCAAUUAGAGGCCAGUGGCUAAUAGCUCAAGCCUUGCAGAGGCCAGGAAUGUGGUUACAAAAGACGGUGCACCUGGGCCCAGCGGGAGCCUUCCAGAAACUGCCGCACAGCCCUCCCCAGCACCCUCCUUCCUGAGUGACUGAGUUCCCCCAGGCAUUCCAAACACACCUUUCCUGUCUUUGUGUUUGCUCAGCCUGUCUUCUCCUCCCCUCAUCCUUGUUGCUUGAAAUAUCUCCGUAGCUCCCCAUUGCCCACAGCCGGAUCCACGGUGACUAAUCUCCGGGAAGGCGUCCAGCGUGAGCCGUGAGGCCUGCACCUGCGCCGGACUUCACCACUCACCAGGAGUCUCUGCCCGCCGCCCCCAGCGCGGUUCUCUUCCCUGCUAGACGUAAAGUCCUGGGGACAAGCACAGCCCAGGGCACUUUCUGGAGAGAAGAUUUCGAUGGGGAAAGAUAAGAGAGCAUUUGGAUAUCUACGCACUGUCAACAGAAAUGAGGCUUCAGGCCAAGGCUUCUAAAAUGCAGGAUUCCCAAAGUGGCAGUCACAUAAGACGGGUCCCUCCAUCGCCUUCUAGAAUAUUGAGAAGAUCAUCACGCCUGGGACUGGCUCACAGCACUGAUCUUUUUCUUGUUAGCAGAGACUCCAGGAAGCAGAUGAGCAGACCUAUGGGCCUGCUAUGUGCACCGCGGCCCACACUGCCGCCUGCCUGGGAUCCUGCAUCACCCGAGUCUUCCUGCGGACCACCCUGGGUGGUGCACAUGCGGUCAUCAUUGUGCAAAGGAAGCUUUAGUUCUAUAAUGAAAGCCCCUUUAGUAAGUGAUGCUCCUUGAAGACUCGGUCAGCGUCUCGUUCACCUCUUUAUCCCCAGACUUAGCACAAUUCCAGCCCCAAAUCGGCAACGGACCUUUGACCAAGUGACAUGUCAGUGCUUCAGGGAGCUUCACUGAUCAGGACAGAAGUGAGUGACUGGAGGAAGGUGACCCGGAUGUCUGUAACCCCCAGAAAGGGUGAGAUGGCUGUUUUAUCAGCCAGCAUUGCCGAGUUGGUGGUGUGACGACAUCCUGUCUGACUGCUGGGCCUUACCGGUGUGUUCUCUGCUGGAGCCGUGACAGUUUGAGUUGAGGACAUUUUACAUCAAUCACUGAACUGCACGAAAGAUGGAAAUCCAGCAAGGGACCCCGUCGGACCUGAUUGACCGCAGAGCUACCUUUUGCUCUUUCUGGAUGCCACACGGCCUCCUCCUCCCACCUGUCCUUGGAGCUUGUGUUGGUCCACUUUCAUGCUGCUGAUAAAGCCAUACCUGAGACUGGGUAAUUUAUAAAGAAAAAGAGGUUGAAUGGACUCACAGUUCCACGUGGCUGGGGAGGCCUCACAAUCACGGCGGAAGUUGAAAGGCACGUCUUACAUGGCGGCAGGCAAGAGAGAAUGAGAGCCAAGCAAAGGGGGUUUCCCCUUAUAGAACCAUCAGAUCAGCUGGGCGCAGUGGCUCACUCCUGUAAUCCCAGCACUUUGGGAUGCUGAGGUGGGAGGAUCACAAGGUCAGGAGUUUGAGACCAGCCUGACCAAUAUGGUGAAACCCCAUCUCUACUAAAAAUACAAAAAUUAUCUGGGCAUGGUGGUGGGCACCUGUAGUCCCAGCUACUCGGGAGGCUGAGGCAGGAGAAUCGCUUGAACCUGGGAGGCGGAGGUUGCAGUGAGCUGAGAUUGUGCCACUGCACUCUAGCCUGGGCAACAAAGCGAGACGCUGUCUCAAAAAAACAAAAACAAAAACAAAAAAAACCAUCAGAUCUCAUGAGACUUAUUCACUACCAUGAGAACAGUAUGGGGGAAACCACCCUCAUGAUUCAAUUAUCUCUUGCUGGGUCCCUCCCUCAACACAUGGGAAUUACGGGAGCUACAAUUCAAGAUGAGAUUUGGGUGGGGACACAGCCAAACCGUAUCAGAGCUGUGCUCCCAAGCACCCAAGGACUGCCGAGUUCUCAGGCUGGCAGCUCCAGCUGAUGGCACGUCACUGGGGGGUGAGGGGUUGAGGACCUGAGCUGCCCCCAGGCUCUGCAAUGGAAAGCAUCAGGCUGGACUUGGACAUUCUGGGUGGGAAGUGUCUGGAACCUGGACGCUGGCUUGGAGAGGAGCCUCAGGAGGAAUCGCCAGGAUUCUCAGCUGUCGAGAAUGUCACCCGCUGCUGUACUCCCAACAGCAAGGGAGGCACCUGGCACGUCGUGAGCAACUCUCGUGUAUUUGUUGCAUGAUCUAGUCCAAGAAUGGCCAAUGAGUUUCACCUGCCAGUUUUCACAGGCCUGUGUGCCGAGAGUGUUCCUUACCAUUUUUUCAUUAUUAUUCUGCUAAGGAGGAUUUUUAGACAUUAUGUUCCUAGUCAAGCCCUCACCUCUGCAAUGAAAUUAUAAUACCACUGUUGACCCAAAGAUGAGCAGCAAGCGCUAGAACUGAGGGAAAUCAUGGCGGACGUAUGUGGCCCAGAAGGUGGGAGAGGCAAGCGGUGAGCAGCCGUGACGUUCCUGAGAUUCUGAUGAGCGCUCGGUGGCACUGCCCACAUGAUAAGGAACUAUAAACCUGUUCAUGUGUUGACCCUCCCAAGAAUCACAAAUAUUGCAAUGGCCAAGAAUUUUUGGCCACCACGAACUGUUGCCCCCUUGGGAGAGACUCUGCCGGACUAAGGAUGCCUGGCCUGGGUGUAGGGCUGCUUUGGGUGUGAGGACAGGAGUGACCCGCAGCCCCGUGAGCAGCCACCACCCGUGAGAAGCCCAGGCUGCCAGCAGCAGGGGGCCUUGUGUCUCUGCCCCUAGGUGGGUGCAGACGAGGGCCAGGGUCUCCACCCGCCAGCCUGGUGCUCACUGCACAGCAAGAAGGUUUCCCAGUGGGAACAGACUGAACCAGGCCCUGGUCCUCCAAGGACACAGAAGUCAGGGACGGAACUGAACCGUGACCAAUCGAUGGAUCUGUCGUCGUUGAUCUCAGGCUGCCUUCUUAUCAGAAGUUCAAAGUUCUUCAAAGUGAGGAAGAUCAACUGGAGGAUUUCAACUGUUCUUUUUUUUUUUUUUCUCAAACCUAACUGUUGAGUUCAGGGUUUCCAGCCGUCUCUGUGCCCAAGUGGGGCCGUUUCUGACGGCAGCAUCACUGGUGCACAGCAGUGGGUGACAGGGACCUGGGCCGCAUUGCGCCCACACCGUGCAGGAUUACAGAGGUGCUGGGAGCUAGGGAGACAGCAGUGACCCUCCUACAGCAGUGAUCUUGUUCCCAGUCACAGGGCAUGUCCCAGUCACAGGGCACGUCCCAGUCACAGGGCAUGCAGUGAUUCCUUGUGUGCUCAGCGAAGGCAGAUCCAGGCUCCCAAAUAACCAAGGGGGAGGAGAGGAUGGCGGCAGCAAGGCCCAUGCUCCUGAGUGCCAUCUCGGGACAUUCUGACUCUGGUUUUGGGAGGGACUCCAGCAUAUGCAUUUGAAGCAACCUCCCCAGGUGAUUCUGAGGCCCGGGUAGUUUGGGGGAUCCCAGAUCAGCCAGCAGCACCCCAGGUUCAGCAAGGAUGCUGGGUUUCUGCUUGGCAGCUUCCUAACCUGCAACAGGACAGGUGCUUCCACCCUACUCCGGUCUGCAGGGAGCCCUAAGAAACUGGUCUCAGCCAGGAUCCCAGGAGAGACAAAAGCGCCCUGGGGCUGCGUGGCUGGAGGACAGUGUCAGGACAAUCCACAGAGCAGGAAGUAGGGAACCCAGCCGAGGGCUGGUGCACUCUCUGGGUCAACAACAGGUGGCUGUGGGGCCUGAAGGGGCAGGGGAAGAAGACACCUGGGGAGACGGUGCCUGGGGAGCAUCUCUGCAGUGACCCCGCCCCAGGGCGGCACAGGGGCCAACUCCAGCCAGCUCCAGUGACUCCUCUAGAAGGAGUCUGGGCCAGUGAGAGCUCUCACUACUCUCCAUGCUCCAGUCUCUAGGGCUGCCUUUCGGGCCACACCUGAUUGCGGCCAGGGCAGAGGGAAAGUGUGGGGUGGAGCCACCCUGCAGGAAGGCACACCAUCCGUUCUGUGCAGCCAACCACUCUGGCUGAGGACCCCUCUCUAACCUGUCUCCCCAGCCUGAAUUAUUGAAGUUACUGAAAGAUGACCGUUUUGAAAUCAUCUGCUAAUCUUGUCUAUUGUUCCCUUCUUUGUGUUGUGAAGGAGACAUGAGACAUCAAUCAACACAUGUAGGAUGAACAUUGGUUCGGUCUGGAAAGGCGGGACAACUCGAAGCAAAGGCAGGAAGACUCGAAGCAGACGGGGGCUUCCAGGUCAUAGGAAGUCAUGAGCGAAGAGACCGUGAGCCUCUCCCAAACCCCGCAUGUGCUGACAUCUCCACGUGUGCUGUGUCCUGGGUAGGCUUUCUUCAUAGACCGUGCUUCCGUCUGUCUGGAGUUUCCGCUUCAUCCAUCUGUCCACAGGGAGGACGCACACCCCUGAGUCCGAGGCCACACCACGCAUUCUGUAGAAACUCUCACUGCCCAGGGAGCACACUUUAUUAGGAAAGCUCCAGGUUCACAGAGGCUCUGGGCUCUCUCUGGGCCCGACGCCCUUCACUGUUUGAACUCAGCAGCUGCCUGCAGGUGCGGAGGACAUGCACCUUCCAGCCUUUGUCCUUUCCUGGCCUUCUCGUCAAUCUUACCGUCUGUCGGCCCUAAGUGGAUGCUCGGGUAAGUAAGUCCGUAAGCAAUGAGCAGUUCCUGUCCUUAGCAUGUCUGGGGUCUGUGGCUUUUGCGAAGGCAUCUGCAAAGCUAUUGCUGACAUGGAUGUCAUGAGGUUCUCUCCCUUAUUCCAGAGCUCAGUAAGCCCACAGGGCACAAGGCUCUUGACAUUCACAGCUGAGUGAGAAAGUGGUGAUGUUUAACUAUAAGCAUGAAAAACCCAAAAAGUACAAUAAUAAGGUUUCCAUGUGCAACGCAUGUAUCCAGCGCCCUGGAACGAAACAGACACGUGUGCUCUUUGAGCGGAAGGAAGAUGCAGGUCAGGAAAAAUGGUGAUUCUGCUGUUUCCCAAGUCACCCAGCAGGUGGGGGUGUCUGCUCAUGGAAACCCGCAUUUGCUAGGAUACAAUUUCCCUCUUUCUUUUUCACGAAGGAAAGGUCAAUUCACUCAGAAAUUACAUCCUUAGUGAGAUACCUAUGACUUGUAGGGCCCCAUACACUCAGAACCCCCGCUCCUGGGGGACUGCUGGGUGAACGUGGUCCAACAUGUGUAAUAUUCAUAAGGAAUGGGUGUUACAAGCCCAGCAGGCUGUAUGGCUUUCAUUAAUUUGGCCAGAGUCAUUCACGAAUAGCAGAAUGUUUAAUAUGGAAGCAGCAGCCACCCAAAUAGCAAACACAAUUUGGUAGAGAUGUGGGCUGUUAGCGCCGUGGCAGGGGUGAGGCAGUCUUACCAAGUGCUGAUGGUGAAGUGUGUUGUCAUCUCUUCCUGAACUUAAAUUUGUUACGUGACUCUAAGCAAUUCACUUCCAAUGCCUGGGACUCAGCUAUUUCCUCUCCAAAAUCAAGGGGCUGUACAGAGUGACCUUGGGGUGUUCUCCAGGGCUAACACGGUACCAAUUAUCCCAGUAAGAGGCCAAAGCCGCGGCCAGUUUGCCUGAAAUUCUCCUGUGAGUGGCCCAACAGAAAUAAUCAAAGUGAGUGGAUGGUGUGACAGACACAGAAAGACCUGGGAAGGAAGCUGACCAACUCCCUGGAUACUUAGCCAGGCACAAUCUUCUCAGUUAGAUCUUUAAAUCGAUUGAGAUUUGGCAAAAUUGUUACAAAUCCUGGCAGCAUAUCAACCAAGAUCAUUAUACCCAUUAAGUAACUAAUACUCUAAAACUCUUUGACCCCAAGGAGUGUCAGGAUUGUAGCACUGUGAAGAUGCUGCAGACGAAUUAAGGCUGAUCCCAUCAUCGGGGAUUGUCAAGGUUGUGAGCCAUCAGUGUGUAAUCAUCCAGGGACUCUUAAAAUAUGUGUAUCACUAUAGUCAGGGCUCUGCAGUGAGACAGAACCAAUAGGCUACAUAGGUAGGUAGCUAUAUAGAUAGACAGGUGAUAGAUAGAUAGAUAAUAAUAGAUAAACAGAUAGCUAGCUAGAUGGAUGGAAAGAGGAUAUUCAGUAGGAGAAUGGGCUCAUGUGAUGGUGGAGGUGAGAAGUCCCAGGACAGCCUGUCUUAGAGUAGAUAGAUAGAUAGAUAGAUAGAUAGACAAACAGAUAGCUAACUAGGUGGAUGGAAAGAGGAUAUUCAAUAGGAGCACUGGCUCAUGUGAUGGUGGAGGUGAGAAGUCCCAGGACAGGCUGUCUUAGAGCUGGACACUCUGGGAUGCCGGUCAUGUGACUCAGGACCCGAGUUGCAAGGCCUCAGAGCCAGGGAAGACAAUGGCAUGACUCAGUCCAAGGCUGAAGGCCUGAGAGCCCAGGGCAGGGAGUGCUAGUGCAAGCCCAGAGUCUGAAGGCCAAGAGGCUAGAGUGCUGAUGUCCAAGGGCAGGAGAAGAAGGGUGUCCCAGCUCUAGGAGACAGACACAGCUACCUUUUAGUUCUAUCCGGGAUUGGAUGGUGCCUACCCUGCAUUCAGGCAGGUCUUCCCCCUCAGUCUGCUGACUCACAGCCCAGUCUCCUCCAAAACAGCUCAUCCUCUUAUCCAUCCAUCUAGCUGAGGCUGAGACAAGAUCUCACCGGCCAGCUGGGCCUCCCUCCAGCCAGCCAGGUUGAGGCCUGGUGUUAACCAUCACUAUAUGGCACUACUCCUUCUGGCUAAUCCCAGAGGGCAGAGGUCAUGCAGGCACCGCAUCAAGCCAGGGUUCCUUGUUUUGGUGUCAG